UACGGAGGGUGCAAGCGUUAUCCGGAUUCACUGGGUUUAAAGGGUGCGUAGGUGGGCAAGUAAGUCAGUGGUGAAAUCUCCGGGCUUAACCCGGAAACUGCCAUUGAUACUAUUUGUCUUGAAUACUGUGGAGGUCAGCGGAAUAUGUCAUGUAGCGGUGAAAUGCUUAGAUAUUACAUGGAAUACCAAUUGCGAAGGCAGGUUACUACCAACACAUUGACGCUGAUGGACGAAAGCGUGGGGAGCGAACAGG
rnacentral:rRNA from 1 species